CUUUAAACAAUGUUUAUAUUCAUGUACUACAAGUAAAAGCAAAUAUUUAUAAUGUAAAGAAAAUAGGCACUGGACAUCAAAGUCGAUAUAUAACUGAUUUGUUGGGUAUAAAAAGGCAUUGGGAUAAUGACCUAAAUAUUAAACUAUUAGUAGUUGCAUUUCAGGGAGUUAAAUAAGUUUUUAUGUACCAUCUCAAAGGGGCGAUCUAUAAUAGACUAAAGAUUGAAUUAACCACAUGUGUAUAAUUCUUAAAUGUUCAAUAUCCAAAACACAUUUUAAACUUUUAAAUGUAUAAAUUAAUUGUUUAUGAUAGUUAUAACUAAUUUAUCUAUAUGAUAAUUCCAUUUAAGGUUUUCAUUAAUUAUCAAGUAUGGUUGACUAUGGAUGUGUUGUUAGUUACAAGAUACAAUUAUUUUUUUUCAACUUAAAGAAUGUGGGCAAAUUGAGAGAUUCAUGAGAGGUAGUUGAAUUAGAUCUAAAGUUCAAUAAUAUAAAAUUCGACUUUUUUAGAUUUGACUUUGUAAACUUGUAACCAUACCAAUUCUGAAUUCCAUGUACUAAACACAUUUUUUCAUUAAAUAGGACUUACAUACUUUUAUAAUUAAAAAGCAAAAGAGUAUCAUGGGUACCAGUAAAAUAUAAUUUUUUUUACUAACAUUGAGAAGGUCAUUAACAUAAAUAUGAAACAUUAUUGGGCCUAGAACAAAAAUCUGUGGUACACCAAUUGAAAUUUUAUUUACAUCACUACAUUCACAUUUAACUCUAUUUGAGAUAUACCAUAUAUUUGUGACUAUUAAUUUUAAAAUAUUAUCUCAGCACAGUGUUGUUUUUUGAGUAAUAAAAUUUACAAAUUUUAUUUAGAAUCAAAUACUUUUUUUAUGUCUAAAAAAACACUAAUCGCGUACUUGCUCUUCAUCCACAUUAUUAAUUAAUUAAUUUAUUUUAGUAACACAAUUUGAAUACAAUAAGGUAA